CACAUUUAAGUGAUUAGAACCUGUCAUUUUUUGUUGUUGUUUUCAGACUGACACAAAUGACAGGACAAAGAAACAUACAAGGAAAUAAAAUGAAAAUUCAGAACAGAUGUUAGGACACAUUUUUCAUGCUGAAUGUGCAGAGUGGUCAACCAGUUUCCAGUGCCGAAAACACUGGAUGCAAAAAGAAGAAAGAAAAAAAAAGAAGAAGGAAAAAAAAAGUGAUUGUGUGGAUCAUUCCUCUUCCACAUAAUUUGUUAAUGUAUACAGCAGUAGAGAAUUUUAAGAGAUUCCUUUCAUGCAAUUGAGAAGUUGUUUUCUGAUAUUGAAGAACAGGAUGGUGGCAGGAUAGGGAAGAACUGAGAUCUGAAAAUGUGGGGAAAGAUAUGAAAUGAGCAUUUGUAGUUGACCAGAAGUAGUGUAAACUACAGUGAUAGGGAAUGUACAGAUACAGGGAAAAUAUCUAGGUUUAACGAGAGUGAAAAGUGAAUGAAGACCACUUGAGGGUGGGAACAUCAACAGUGAGAUUAAUGGUGAGCAGUGGCAGCAGCUGCUGUGUCAGUAGAGUAUUAAGUCUGAAGACGUUUUAGGCAUAAAAAUUCUAUAAGGGGAGACAUUCCAUGUGGUAAAACCAGGUUUAUGCUAUCUGCAAUUUUCUAAGACACACUGGACAUCAAUUGUAUCAAAUAAAUAUUAUCAGAUGGCCA
rnacentral:lncRNA from 1 species